rnacentral:rRNA from 1 species
AUCUAUAGCCAUACUGCCCUGAACACACCUGAUCCUGUCUGAUUUCAGAAGCUAAGCAAUGUCGGGCCUGGUUAGUACUUGGAUGGGAGACCAGGUGCUGCAGGCG